GUGACGAAGCGACGCCGCGUGAGCGAAGAAGGCCCUAGGGUUGUAAAGCUCUGUCGAGGGUUAUGAAAUAUAAAAAGGUUAAUACCCUUUUUAUUUGACAAAGGCCCCAAAGGAAGUCACGGCUAACUCUGUGCCAGCAGCCGCGGUAAUACAGAGGUGGCAAGCGUUGUUCGGUAUUAUUGGGCGUAAAGAGCACGUAGGUGGUUUUGUAAGUCAGGUGUGAAAGCCUUCUGUUCAAAGGAAGAACGGCAUCUGAAACUGUAGAUCUUGAGUGUAGGAGGGGAGAGUGGAACUUCUGGUGGAGCGGUGAAAUGCGUAGAUAUCAGAAGGAACGUCGGCGGCGAAAGCGACUCUCUGGCCUAUUACUGACACUGAGGUGCGAAAGUUAGGGGAGCAAACGGGAUUAGAUACCCCGGUAGUCCUAACCGUAAACGAU
rnacentral:rRNA from 1 species